UACGGAGGGUGCGAGCGUUAAUCGGAAUUACUGGGCGUAAAGCGUGCGCAGGCGGCUUUGCAAGACAGAUGUGAAAUCCCGGGCUCAACCUGGGAACUGCAUUUGUGACUGCAAGGCUAGAGUACGGCAGAGGGGGAUGGAAUUCCGCGUGUAGCAGUGAAAUGCGUAGAUAUGCGGAGGAACACCAAUGGCGAAGGCAAUCCCCUGGGCCUGUACUGACGCUCAUGCACGAAAGCGUGGGGAGCAAACAGG
rnacentral:rRNA from 1 species